rnacentral:misc_RNA from 1 species
CAGAGUUGCAAAACUCCCACAAACCAUCGCGAAUCUUACCCGUACGGUUGCCUCGGCGCUGGCGGUCCGGAAGGCCCUCGGGCCCCCCGGAUCCUCGGGUCUCCCGCUCGCGGGAGGCUGCCCGCCGGUAGUGCCGAAACCAAACCCUUGAUAUUUUAUGUCUCUCUGAGUAAACUUUUAAAUAAGUCA